GGCAUAUAUUUAUACAAGGUGUGCUCAAUUAAAAAAAAACUAGCACGAAAAGCAGGUUUCAAGCAGAUUUUGUAGAUUUUUUUAUUUAUAUACAUUUACAUAUUUUUAUUCGACGCAACCAGUAUGCAAUUUUCGGGUCACUUUAGUUUAGCAGUGCGCAUCCAAUAAAUCCAAUAUUCGUGCUAAUUAUUUAUUUCGCGCAAGGAAUAAAGCACACCAUGCCCUUGCUGGGACCCAAGAUUUUGACAGUUCUGUUUUUUUUAUCUUCUGCUGAGCUGUCGUGAAAAUUGCUCGACCGUGCGAAGAAAAUUUUAAUCUAGAAAAAUGAGAGAAAACCACAGGAAAUUGCAAUUGUCGUGGAGCGGAUAGUGAAAACAACGGGUAGACCUCAUCCGUCAGUGUGGGAACCACUCACGGAGCCAACGACUUUUCUGACCCACCCACCCCGAUGAUCACAAUCUGGCCAGGACAGGAAUAGCUGGAUCGGGUUUCUCCCGGUUCCGCAGCCCAAGGAAGUGAGCUCUACACCGGUACUUCGCCAUCAGUUUUACCAGGAACAGCUGAUUACCGGACCUGAUCGAUGUAGUGCUAUACCGCAACCUUAGGCCCGGAUUCACAAAGCUGCUGAUAAAGCGUGUUUACCGGCUCCGAGAGAAGCUCAAGCUGGAGUUCGGCAUCUAAAGAAUCAGGUUGAUCUCAAACGCAGUCGUUGAGACCUUUGAAAUCCGGAUCGAAACCUCCCGGACUGAUGGGACAGCUACUCACGCGCUAAUUUUGUUAUUUGUGGUCAAACAUGAAAAAUAUUUGUUUAUAAAUGUUUAAAUCAAGACUAGCCUGUUUCACUACAUUCCGAGAAGUAAAUUUA